rnacentral:rRNA from 1 species
AUUGAACGCUGGCGGCAGGCCUAACACAUGCAAGUCGAGCGAGCGGCGGACGGGUGAGUAAUGUAUGGGGACUGCCCGAUAGAGGGGGAUAACUACUGGAAACGGUGGCUAAUACCGCAUACUAUCGGAUAACCCAUAUGGGAUUGGCUAGUAGGUGGGGUAACGGCUCACCUAGGCGACGCUCCCUAGCUGGUCUGAGAGGAUGAUCAUCAAAAUUGGGACUGGAACACGGCCCAAACUCCUACGGAGGCAGCAGUGGGGAAUAUUGCACAAUGGGCGCAAGCCUGAUGCAGCAAUGCCGGGUGUAUGAAGAAGGCCUUAGGGGUGUAAAGUACGUUCAGCGGGGAGGCGUUACCCGCAGAAGAAGCACCGGCUAACUCCGUGCCAGCAGCCGCGGUAAUUC